UACGUAGGGUGCAAGCGUUAAUCGGAAUUACUGGGCGUAAAGCGUGCGCAGGCGGUUUUGUAAGUCUGACGUGAAAUCCCCGGGCUCAACCUGGGAACUGCCUUUGUGACUGCAUAGCUAGAGUACGGUAGAGGGGGAUGGAAUUCCGCGUGUAGCAGUGAAAUGCGUAGAUAUGCGGAGGAACACCGAUGGCGAAGGCAAUCCCCUGGACCUGUACUGACGCUCAUGCACGAAAGCGUGGGGAGCAAACAGG
rnacentral:rRNA from 1 species